rnacentral:ncRNA from 2 species
GAUGUAACGGGGCUAAACCAUGCACCGAAGCUGCGGCAGCGACGCUUAUGCGUUGUUGGGUAGGGGAGCGUUCUGUAAGCCUGCGAAGGUGUGCUGUGAGGCAUGCUGGAGGUAUCAGAAGUGCGAAUGCUGACAUAAGUAACGAUAAAGCGGGUGAAAAGCCCGCUCGCCGGAAGACCAAGGGUUCCUGUCCAACGUUAAUCGGGGCAGGGUGAGUCGACCCCUAAGGCGAGGCCGAAAGGCGUAGUCGAUGGGAAACAGGUUAAUAUUCCUGUACUUGGUGUUACUGCGAAGGGGGGACGGAGAAGGCUAUGUUGGCCGGGCGACGGUUGUCCCGGUUUAAGCGUGUAGGCUGGUUUUCCAGGCAAAUCCGGAAAAUCAAGGCUGAGGCGUGAUGACGAGGCACUACGGUGCUGAAGCAACAAAUGCCCUGCUUCCAGGAAAAGCCUCUAAGCAUCAGGUAACAUCAAAUCGUACCCCAAACCGACACAGGUGGUCAGGUAGAGAAUACCAAGGCGCUUGAGAGAACUCGGGUGAAGGAACUAGGCAAAAUGGUGCCGUAACUUCGGGAGAAGGCACGCUGAUAUGUAGGUGAAGCGACUUGCUCGUGGAGCUGAAAUCAGUCGAAGAUACCAGCUGGCUGCAACUGUUUAUUAAAAACACAGCACUGUGCAAACACGAAAGUGGACGUAUACGGUGUGACGCCUGCCCGGUGCCGGAAGGUUAAUUGAUGGGGUUAGCGCAAGCGAAGCUCUUGAUCGAAGCCCCGGUAAACGGCGGCCGUAACUAUAACGGUCCUAAGGUAGCGAAAUUCCUUGUCGGGUAAGUUCCGACCUGCACGAAUGGCGUAAUGAUGGCCAGGCUGUCUCCACCCGAGACUCAGUGAAAUUGAACUCGCUGUGAAGAUGCAGUGUACCCGCGGCAAGACGGAAAGACCCCGUGAACCUUUACUAUAGCUUGACACUGAACAUUGAGCCUUGAUGUGUAGGAUAGGUGGGAGGCUUUGAAGUGUGGACGCCAGUCUGCAUGGAGCCGACCUUGAAAUACCACCCUUUAAUGUUUGAUGUUCUAACGUUGACCCGUAAUCCGGGUUGCGGACAGUGUCUGGUGGGUAGUUUGACUGGGGCGGUCUCCUCCUAAAGAGUAACGGAGGAGCACGAAGGUUGGCUAAUCCUGGUCGGACAUCAGGAGGUUAGUGCAAUGGCAUAAGCCAGCUUGACUGCGAGCGUGACGGCGCGAGCAGGUGCGAAAGCAGGUCAUAGUGAU